GUCAAUUUCCAAUAUGCAAUGUGAGUUUAACAAACUCCAUUCAUUAUUCUUAUUAUGUUAGUUUGGUUAAGUUUUAAUUCGCAAAUCGUAUAUUCAUAAAUAUUAUAAUAUUCGUUUAUUAAAAUAUUAAUAACAUGGAUCCAACUAAAAUAAUGAAAGGUGGAGCAGAAAAAAUGCGACUGAAAAGACUUGGUGAAUUCAAAUUAUAACUGGCUAAAUAUUCAAAAUAAAAAAAAGUUGAACUUUUUUCACCUACUUCGUAUUGAUUGCACAUUCAACUACAAAAAUUCCGGUCAAGGUAAGUAUACAAACCCAUUCUAAUAUUAAGUUGUAAUAUUAUAAAUUAAGUUGAAUCAAAAGUAAAAGAAACAUGUAAACUGAAAGUAGAAUUUUUAAAUUUAUAGCUAAUACCCCUAAAUACCUAUUGGCUAAGUAUCAACUUUGUUAAGUACUUUAUAAUAAUAUAGCCUAUACAGGGGUCUCACAAAGAUACAUCUAUUGUAAUAUCUCCAGAGACAAUAAAAAUAAUCAAAUUCAGUUUUUUCUUUUUAUAUUAUGUACUUACUGAGAUAGAGACUACAAAUAAUAUUGCAAUUAAUUUUUAUAUUUUAUUAUUUUUGAAAAAUUUGAAGAUAGUCAUUUUAUAGAGUUUAUUUUUCUGAAAAUUUUGAUGUACCAACUUUUUAUUUUUAUUGAAUGUGUGAUUUUUAAUAAUUGUUCAAAGUUCAUAAAAAAGAAGUGUACAGUUGUUUAAUCAUAGAUUAAUUAUAAUAAUAAUAAUCAAUUAGAGAUUGCGAUUACAACUUGCUGUUUAAUCAUGAGUACUUUUCUCUGAACAUUUUCAGAAGAGUAAAUUACUCAAUAUACAUUUUCCAAAAGUAAUACUAAUAAAAAAAAAUAGUUAUUUUUCAAAGCAUAAGAAAUUAAUGGAAAUAUAAAAUAUUUGUAGUUAUUAUAACUCUAUAUAUAGUAAUAUAGGGAAAAAAAACAAAUUUUAUUAUCUUUACUAUAUCUAGAGAUAUUAACAUGUAGAGGAGACAUUAGUUGUAUAUCGAAUGAAUCAAUUAAUCAUUGUUAACAAUUUGGAGCGAAGUUCAGUAGGACAUUUUGAAAUGCGUUAUUAUUAGAAUUUUCAUCAAAAUGUUUAAGCAUUUCUUUUGAGUUAUGUAAUUUGAAUAAAAUUUACCUACCAAAUAAAAAUACAAUAUAUAAAAACGCGAAAAUAUCAAAUACUUACAAAUAGCCUAAACAUGUUUUGAAAAUUUUACUGUAUCUAAUUAAGGACAACAAAGCAUCUUGGGAAAUCUAAAAGUCUCAUAAAUAAUUUUGAACCGAAAAACAACAAAAAUUGAAAUUGUUUUAAAAUACAUCAAAUUUCAAAUUCUGAGUCAAGUGAAAAACUUACAUUUUUUCAAAGAUGUUUAGAAUUUUAAUUUUUUUUUUUGUGAACAAUUUUUUUACCAGCAAUUUUGCUCCAAUUCAUGAAAGUAAUUUUUGUAAAUUAAAAUCCGACUGAGAAGGUACUUUAGAGAGGUCAUUUUUCGAUUUUCUUUAGAGUUAACUCAACAAAUGUGAAAACCGGGAAAACUUAGGAAAUUGAGGAAAAUAAAUACAAAAUUAAGCAAAUAGUAUUGAAAAAAAUAUAUAAAGCAUAUUUAUAAUUUUAUUAUAAUAUGACAGAUAUAUUGUUGACAAAGCAUCAGUAUCAACUGAACUCCGCUUAGAAUCGUUUUUUGUUAACAAUGGUUAAUCGUUGCUUACAGGUAUACAUUAAAUUACCUAUAAUAGUGGCUUCAUCCGUCCCCAUUAUCCAAGGAUGUCUUUAUAAAAUUAUAAUUUAUGUACUAAAUAAUACAGUUUAUUCAAAAGUAACAGCAGAGUUAUAAAUUUAGUACCUACUAGUAUUUAUAAGAGAGCUCCCUACCUAUUAUUCUACAAAUUAUCUACAACCUCAAGCCCCCACAUUGAAAAUUCUUGAGAAUGCCACUGAUAUACAUUUUAUUUUAUAUCCAUUUUAGCUUCAAUCAAUACCACUAUGGUUGGUGGUGCUAAAUUGUGAAAAUAUUAUUGCAUAUAAUUUUGUACUUAUGAAUUUAAAGAUAAUAAUACUUUUUCUUUCUUGAAGUAUUCCUUUUUGAAAAUUGGCUAAUUUAAUUAAUUAAAAAUUAUAAUAAUAUUAUAAAGACAUUUUUAUCUCUAAAAAUUGUCAACAAAAUGUCUUACUUUUUAAACUAAAAAAAAACAAAUUAUUGUAGAUAUGUAGAAUUUCUCAUAGAAUUAGUAAAUCUGGUAUACUAAAUUAUAUAUUUUUUAAUUAUUUUAAAAUUAUUAAAUUGGAUAGACGAUCUAUUAAGUAAAAUUAAUAUAAUAUAUAUUAUAAAAUACAAUGUAAAGUAAAUUAUUUAUUAGUUAUAAAUUAUUUUUUUCAGAAUAAAAAUAUAUAUUCAAUUAUUAAUAUGUGCAAAUAAAAUCUGGAAUAAUAGGUAAG